GAUGAACGCUGGCGGCAUGCCUAAUACAUGCAAGUCGAGCGGACAGACGAGGUUCUUGCGCCGCUGGCGUUAGCAGCGCGCGGGUACGUGCCACUUGGAGAACAUACAUAUCAGACAACGGUUACUACUAGACACCGGGGCUAGUAGCGGAUAAUAGAUUCAACCGCAGGGGUCACUAGUGAAUGACUGGUUUGCUGUUACUGCAAGAUGUUACCGAGCCGCAGUAGCUAGUUGGUAAGGUAACGGUUUACCAAGACACCGAUGCGUAGCCUACCUGGGCGGGUGAUCGGCCACACUGGAACUGAGACACGGUCCAGACUCCUACGGGAGGCAGCAGUAGGGAAUCUUCGGCAAUGGGAGAAAGCCUGACGGAGCAACGCCGCGUGAGUGGUGAAGGUCUUCGGAUCGUAAAGCUCUGUUAUUAGGGAAGGAGAAAUGUGUAAGUAACUAUGCACGUCAUGACGGUACCUGAGCAGAAAGCAACGGCUAACUACGUG
rnacentral:rRNA from 1 species